UACGAAGGGGGGCUAGCGUUGCUCGGAAUCACUGGGCGUAAAGGGUGCGUAGGCGGGUCUUUUAAGUCAGGGGUGAAAUCCUGGAGCUCAACUCCAGAACUGCCUUUGAUACUGAAGAUCUUGAGUUCGGGAGAGGUGAGUGGAACUGCGAGUGUAGAGGUGAAAAUUCGUAGAUAUUCGCAAGAACACCAGUGGCGAAGGCGGCUCACUGGCCCGAUACUGACGCUGAGGCACGAAAAGCGUGGGGGAGCAAACAGGG
rnacentral:rRNA from 1 species